UUGAAGCCGGGGCUAAGACACCCAAAGCAACCAAGCAGUCCAAAAAAGACUCUAACAAUGAGUGGAAAACCUCAUUCUUGUCAAGCAAGACCUCCUUCACUAAAGGCAGGUUUUCAAUCCUGAGGACUAAGUACGCCCUCUCCUGGGGUAAAUCAUCGAUCUUCUGGAGCAGAACCACCAUAACUUUGGGCAACACCAGCGUAGCGGUCGGCAAAACCUCUGUUACACGAGGGGAGACCACAAGCUCUCUCACCACCCUGACCUGCACCCAUGGGACCAAGUCUGUGUCUGUGGUCAAAGCCACACUCAUCAGGGGCAACGAAACACACAGCAACAUCUACUGGGAUUUUCACUCAUGAUUCCUGCACACACUCAAAACAAAAACCCAGGGAUAUUUCUAUCUGGUCAGUUUUAGCAGUCUUGGCAUAACCAGCAGGAUCAGAUGACACAGGCAGACUCCUCACUGGCCGCAGCAUUGUGUAACACCAGCCAGUGCUGUUCUGGACUGUCGGGAAGACGUCCUGUCCUGUACUGGAUCUGCACAAACAGCCAAGAUAAAAAAUGUGUGCGCUUUGAUAAAUAUUAAGACAAGAACGAUAAUUUGGGCCAAAUUCAAACAGACUAAAAGACGUAAAAAUGAAACUACAACAGGGUGUGUCUCUCUCUCUCACCGGCCCCAUCUGUAAAUAGGCCUAAGCGUCCGGGCAAAGUGUUUCAUGGUCAGAGGAGGUGCAGAGGGAUAAGUGUCCAAGAUGGACAGUGAGGGAGUUGGGCUGAGAAGCGCUGAGAGUGUAAAGCAGAUGUUUGAACCUGACAGGGGGAGUAAAAGGAAGAAUAAGUGAAAGUGGUGGUGAGAGAGUAGGCUGAUUCACAGAUGUUUAGUCAAACCUACAGAAACUUUUGCUGUUAUUUCACAUACUUGAUGGUAAAAAUAAGUGUAGCUCCGGAAUUAAGUAAAAAUGCAAAUGAAGGCUGCACAGAAACUGAACUAUGUUAUUCCAGACAUGCAAUUAAGAUUUGUGUCCUGUCAUUCUAUGAAAAUGGAAUUGAGAGGUGGAAAGUGGCACCCAUUACUGUUGUACAGAAUU